UUACAAGCUGCGUAAGGAAACUUUUUUGUCGAGGUGGAUUUGACGGGCCGAGGCAACGCCGAGGCCCGGCAAACCUCCGAGACUUAAGAAAGGAGUUACGCAGCGUGUAUUGUAUUACGUUUUUUCUGCUACCGACACCAGUAACACUAAAAAGUAAUAAUUCUAGUAACUAAAAAAUAUUUAAGAAAUUAUCAGGAACUCAUUGAACGUAUUCAUUUCCGUAGCAACAAGAUAAAAAAAUUUGUUUACAAGUGAAGUUUUCUAAUAAAAAGUAGUUGUUCAAAGUGAAAAAUGAGUGAUUCAAGUCAUUUACAGGCUAUAGAAGAAGCUGCCAAUAUUGCUUGCGCAUGUCUGUUACCUGAAAAAUCGAAAUUCCGUUAUAAUGAAACUUACAACGCAUUUUCAAUUUGGAAAGAUCCGAAGCCCGCAAGUCUCCUAGCAGUUUAUGGUGUGAAUAUUCAAUGCUGAAAUUAACGUCGUGUCAGUUCUUCUGUUUGUUACCUCAAUUAUAUAAGAAAAUGUUGGAAGCUCAUGCAGUUGAUGAAAAUGUGACAGUUACUAAUUUUGAAAUAACUUCAAAUAAUAAUCCUUUAAUAAAUAUUACUGAGUGUAGUGUUACAGUUAAUAUUAAUAAAUAAUUAUAAAAGAAA